GCCACAUUAGAAUUUUGUCCACUAAGUAAACAGCUAACCACAUCGAUUUUUCAGGGUAAUAGAUAGAGUGUUAACGGGUAAAGUUUGAGUGUUGUGAAGCAGAAGGAAGUUUGGUGAAUAGUCUAUGAUCAAGGUACAAGUUGAGUGAUUUUUGAAACAUUUCACACCUAUUCUAGGCUGCCAAACGUUUUGUACAUUGGGAAAUAUUGGAAGGAAUUUCAUCUUACACUGGACAUAUACUAGCUAGCCCCUACAACUUUGGAUAAAUUUACCUGCUUCAUAUUAAUUUUGUGCAAUAAUUAGCACAAAAAGUUCCUACCUUUCUUUUUUUGGUAUUUUCACCCAUAUUUACACAUUUCAUUGCAAAAAAUGUCAAUUUCACCAAUUUUUAAUGUAAAAUGAUCAAUACACCCUCCUAUUUAAAUAAAACAAAAAAGAAAAGAAAAGAAAAAUAAGAAACAAAAUUACAGUCAUACUCCCAAACUUUUUAAAAAUGCAAAAGAAUCAAAAUAAAUUAUUAAAAUAUUAAAAAUAAAAAAUCUCUUUCUCCCUUCUCUUCUUCUCCUUCCCUUCCCUCCACUUCCUCCACCACCAAAUGGGGCUGCCACUUUAGCAGCCAAAAAUUUUGGUGAACCACAACCCAAACCACCGGACCUCUAUACCACUGGUAUACCACCCAACAUCCAACCUUCAUGCCAAAAUAUUUGGUCGGAAUUGCAAGCCAAAAUACCAAAUUGAGAAUGCAAAUACUGGUGGCACCAUAUGUUCCAUCAAGAUCCAUGCCAUUCUUAACACACAAUCGACUAUACUCACCAAGGCCCCUCUCUUCAUGGUAUUAAAACUUUCAGUUUUUUUUUAUUGGGCAAUAACUAGCAAAAAAUUCUAGGGCAUCUUAGAAUAAAAUUGAUGGAAACCCAUUAUUUAGCAGGUGCGGUAUGAUGUGGCGAAGCGUGAAUGGACGGUCCACAAUAGUUGGAACCACUGCUGACGUUGAAAUUGAAGGAAAAAGGUAGUGUGUUGUACGCACGAUAGGUUGCAUUUUUUUGUUGAUUUUGGCCAUACAAAUUUGUUGUUUUUUCAAUUUGUUUAUAUAAAAGUGUUUGAGGGUUGAUGGCAGCUGUUUGUGGUAUGAGCUCUGAUGUUUUAGGCAGCGGUUACGUGGUGGGUGGUGAGAUGAAGGCCGGCAGCUCUAGGUGUGGUUAUUUAUAAGUUUUUGAAAAGUUUAGGAGUAAGAUUGUAAUUUUUUCUUUAUUUUUCUUCUCUUUUCUUCUUUGUUUUAUUCAAGUAGGAGGGUAUAUUUGUCAUUUUACUUUAAAAAUUGGUGAAAGUGACAUUUUUUGCAAUGAAAGGUAAAAAAAAAAAAACAGGGGUGAAAGUAUCAAAAAAUGAAAGCUAGGGACAUUUUGUGCCAAUUACCCUAUUUUUUUGCUUUAAUAAUUCAGUGUUCUGAAAAGCCUCUUUAGCCAUUGAUCUGGCCGCACUUGAGCAAGCUUUUGUUUAAGAAAAUGGUUUAAAAUAUCUCCAUAUGCCAAAUUUGAUGAAAUUGUUUUAGAAGGCAGGCCUUGGGACAACAGUAUGUUGCACUGCUGUGAGCUGGACGUCAUAGGCUAGAGUUUUGGUGAAAGCGUAGAAGUUGGAUGAUUAUCUUGUAAAGACAAAGGGUGUUACUGAUGUGGCGAAUUCCCUUUUUUCUUGAAGACUUGUACACCAAUCCCAGUUUAAUCGAUUGAAUCCUAAAUCAAAUAUCAAAAUCAUAACUCACAUAUUGAAAAUAAAAUGGUUCUAAAACAAAAUCCUUUAUACUCAUCAAGAAAUUCGAAAUCGAAUUUCAAUUCAGAGCUCCAACCAUGGCUUAUUCCGGCCAACAACAUCACAACAACCUUACGAGGACAUCGUCAUCGAAUUCUGACUCGGAUUUACCGUUUCAGCAAAAGACUUGGUCAUACUGCUAUUGCUAGUCAAGGCGCUAUGUUUUUUCACACUUGCAAUUCUUCUGUUGCUGACCCUCGACUCCAAUUUUAAUUCGACUCCCGUUUCUGCUACUUCUGAAAGUGUUCAGGUAAUUGAUCACUCUUUAUUUGAUUCAUCAUACAGGUUGAUUGAUUAUUUGAUUGGUAUAUGAACACUUGAGGUCUGAGAAAUGAUUUGAAAAUUCAGUUUAAUUACGGGGAUUUUUUAUUAGAAAGGAAAUAGUUGAAUGUUUCAAGAAGUUACGGAAAAUACUUAGUAAUAUGUAUUUAUUAGUUUAUAUGUACUUGUGAAGUUUGAUUGAAGGGGAAGAACAUGGGAAAUAAUAUGUUGUACGAUUAAUUUCCAUAUGAAAUAUUUCAGUAGUGUCCACAAAAGUGGAUAUCUAACAUGAGACUCUUUUUAAACAUAAAACUCUGUUUUAUUUUUAAAAAAAUUAAUUUUAAA
rnacentral:lncRNA from 1 species